rnacentral:rRNA from 1 species
UACAGAGGUCCCGAGCGUUGUUCGGAUUCAUUGGGCGUAAAGGGUGCGUAGGCGGCGCGGCAAGUCGGGUGUGAAAUUUCGAGGCUUAACUUCGAAACUGCAUUCGAUACUGCCGUGCUAGAGGACUGGAGAGGAGACUGGAAUUUACGGUGUAGCGGUGAAAUGCGUAGAUAUCGUAAGGAAGACCAGUGGCGAAGGCGGGUCUCUGGACAGUUCCUGACGCUGAGGCACGAAGGCCAGGGGAGCAAACGGG